rnacentral:rRNA from 1 species
AGUUCAGGGAGGUAGUGACAAUAAAUACCUUACAGAGGUCUCGUUAACCGAGAUCUCUCAAACGGAAUGAGUACAACGUGAAUCCUUUAACGAGGAUCGACUGGAGGGCAAGCCUGGUGCCAGCAGCCGCGGUAAUUCCAGCUCCAGUAGCGUAUAUUAAAGCUGUUGCGGUUAAAAAGCUCGUAGUUGGAUAUCAGUGCGUGUCCGGUCCGGUAUGCCCGGCGGCGGCGCUCGCGCGUCACUGCUGGGCUCCCAAAUAUCGGCUGGCCGCAUUCAAUCGUGCCGGAUCCGUCGACGGGCCGUUCUUCGGAGGGGCCUGUUGGCGACCGGCGACGUUACCUUGAACAAAUUAGAGUGCUCAAAGCAGGCUCUGAAUGCCUGUAUACAUAUUCAUGGAAUUGGAGAAUACGUCCCUGGCUCGAUUUGGUUGGUUUUGAGAGUCGAAGGGAAAUGAUUAAUAGGGACUGACGGAGGCAUUCGUAUUGCGACGCGAGGGGUGAAAUCCUGUGACCGUCGCACGACGAACUACUGCGAAAGCAUUUGCCGAGAAUGUUUUCAUUAGUCAAGAACGAAAGUUAGAGGUUCGAAGGCGAUCAGAUACCGCCCUAGUUCUAACCGUAAACGAUGUCGACCAGCAAUCCGCAACGGUCACUACACGGACUGUGCGGGCAGCUUCCCCGGGGAAACCAGAGUGUAUGGACUCCGGGGGAAGUAUGGUUGCAAAGCUGAAACUUAAAGGAAUUGACGGAAGGGCACCACCAGGAGUGGAGCUUGCGGCUUAAUUUGACUCAACACGGGACAACUCACCAGGCCCGGACACCGUAAGGAUUGACAGACUGAUAGCUCUCUCUUGAUUCAGUGGGUGGUGGUGCAUGGCCGUUCUUAGUUGGUGGAGUGAUUUGUCUGGUUUAUUCCGAUAACGAACGAGACUCUGGCCUAUUAAACUUGACGCCGUCAGUCUCUUGUGACUGCGGUGCGCUUCUUA